rnacentral:lncRNA from 1 species
CCCCACCCCCACCCACCUCCUCAUGUCCCGCCACGUUAGUACGCAUGCGCUCAGCAAUCGCGGCCUGUGGGCCGUGCAGUUUCUAGUGGACCCGCAGCGUGGACCCGCCCGAGCUCUAAGGGGAAGUGAAGAUGGUGGACCAGAGCCCCAAGAAAGGACACCUGCCCACAAAAAGACACCUGUCCUGAGGCCUUGGGUGCUGCUAUGCCCGAUCAUGGUGGCUGGGAGAAAGGAUCUGAGGGGUCAGAAGGUGGAGACAACAGCAGGGAGCCAUCAUUGACCAUGGAAGACGUGGACCUCAUGCUUGAGAAGAGAGGCCCAGCCCUUCCCCUGGACAGGCCUAUGGCGGCAGUGGCGGAGGAAGAGGAGGAGGAGGAGGAGGAAGAAAAGGCCUCCGGGCUCCUGGCAGCCAGCUUGCAGGUGAGCACUACUUCCAUCCCCUCUCACAUCCCUUCACGUGAAUGCGUUUCUUUCCCUUGUCUUAA